GAUGAACGCUGGCGGCGUGCCUAAUACAUGCAAGUCGAGCGAACGGACGAGGAGCUUGCUUCUCUGAUGUUAGCGGCGGACGGGUGAGUAACACGUGGAUAACCUACCUAUAAGACUGGGAUAACUUCGGGAAACCGUAGCUAAUACCGGAUAAUAUUUUGAACCGCAUGGUUCAAAAGUGAAAGACGGUCUUGCUGUCACUUAUAGAUGGAUCCGCGCUGCAUUAGCUAGUUGGUAAGGUAACGGCUUACCAAGGCAACGAUGCAUAGCCGACCUGAGAGGGUGAUCGGCCACCCUGGAACUGAGACACGGUCCAGACUCCUACGGGAGGCAGCAGUAGGGAAUCUUCCGCAAUGGGCGAAAGCCUGACGGAGCAACGCCGCGUGAGUGCUGAAGGUCUUCGGAUCGUAAAACUCUGUUAUUAGGGAAGAACAUAUGUGUAAGUAACUGUGCACAUCUUGACGGUACCUAAUCAGAAAGCCACGGCUAACUACGUG
rnacentral:rRNA from 1 species